rnacentral:rRNA from 1 species
UACAGGGGGGGCAAGCGUUGUUCGGAAUUACUGGGCGUAAAGGGCUCGUAGGUGGCCAACUAAGUCAGACGUGAAAUCCCUCGGCUUAACCGGGGAACUGCGUCUGAUACUGGAUGGCUUGAGAUUGGGAGAGGGAUGCGGAAUUCCAGGUGUAGCGGUGAAAUGCGUAGAUAUCUGGAGGAACACCGGUGGCGAAAGCGGCAUCCUGGACCAGAACUGACGCUGAGGAACGAAAGCGAGGGGAGCAAACGGG